rnacentral:tRNA from 1 species
GGGCCUGUUUCUCAUAGGAUUAGAGCACGUGUCUACAAACCACUGUGACGGGGGUUCUAAUCCCUCCCCGCCCA